GGAAGUAAUGAAGGUAAGCAGAAAAGGAUGCAUUAAAAAAAUUAAUUGAUAAAGGAUCACAAAUUGAAAAACAAUUAAUCAAUAAAGGAUCACAUUAAGUCGUUGAUUGAUCAUCGCUCGCUCGCUCUCUCUAUCGGCUUGCAGGGAAGAAAAGAAAGAAACCGGAAUUUUCCAGAAAACCCUAAAAUGGCAGGGAGAAAUCGCAUCCCUCGUGAACUUUAUAACGACAGGCGGGGAUUCAUCGUUGAACGACCAUUCAUUCGUGGCCAUCCGAUGCCACAGCCUGCUUUCUUGGAGGAGGAGCUUGAGAUGCAACAUGCUGAAAUCCGACGCCUCUUGGGUGAUAACCGUAGGCUGAUCGAAGAUCGUAUGGGUCUGCAGCAAGAGCUUGGCGCUGCAAAGGAAGAGCUUCAUCGAAUGAAUAUUGUGAUUGCUGAAAUUCGUGCAGAACAAGAUGUGCUUAUCAAGAAGGGAUUGAAGCUUGAGGCUGAUCUUCGUGUGACUGAGCCUUUGAAGAAUGAGACUGUACAACUCCGUGCGGAGAUUCAGAAGCUGAGUAGUUCGAAGCAGGAACUGGUUGGGCAAGUCCAAACCCUGAAACAAGAUGUUGCGAGACUGCAAGCUGAUAAUCACCAGAUUCCUCUUUUACGGGGUGAGAUUGAGGGCUUGCACCAGGAGCUAAUGCAUACUAGAGCUGCAAUUGAAUAUGAAAAGAAGGCCAACAUUGAGUUGGUGGAGCAGAGACAGUCAAUGGAGAAGAAUUUGGUUUCCAUGGCACGUGAAGUUGAAAAGCUACGUGUAGAGCUUUCUAGUUCUGAUAAUCGACCGCCCUGGAGUGCUGCUGCUGGUAUAACUGUCUUGUGGAUCAUAUGGGAUGAAGUUCGGUAUUCCAGAAGGGGCUUUUCCUCCUCCAUAUGGGGAUGGGUAUGCAGUUCAUCUGGUAGGGUGCUGCUGACAAGGGUCCUUUCUAUGGCCCUGGUCCUGCUUCAUGGGAGAAGCCCCGCAUGCCUCGUCGUUGAGAUGGUUCUGUUCAAAUCCAAGAAGUGCAAAGUUGUUACUCUGGCUGCCUGUUCCUGCCAAUAUCUCAAUAGUCGAGGAGUGUCUUUCAUCUAUAUGUAUGAAAGACCGAUUCUUAGUGUGACGAAGGUUAAGAAAGUUUUUGAAUCUCUUUGGUACUAGUCACUUCCCUCCCAUCCCAUCAGGAAGUUUGAAAAUGCAACGCCAAUCAGGGAGGUACCAUGGAGACUAAAGCAUCAUGGUGGAGAAGAAGUCAGGUGAAGGAGAGGAGAAGGGAGAAGGGUAUCCUCGAGGGGGAUUGCCGUGCUCUAACACGUUAUACUAUCAUUGAAUCUAGUCAAAUACUUCAUUUUCUUUCUUCUUCUCAAGUGUUGGGGAAAAGAAAGAAAUUAACUCUUAACAGCUCCAGGUUGGACAGAGGCAGCCAGCAGGAAUCAAAAGCAACUUCUCCAGAACCUGGCACAUAAUUUGCUGGAGAAUAAUUCCUUAAUCCUGCCUUCUUGAGCAACAAUUCUAGAUGCUGAUAUUGUCCACGAAAUCAAGACUUGGUAUCUGUUUGGUCAAUUUUUAUAGCAGAGCUGCUGUGCACUAUUUCGAGAACGGUUUACAUGUUGAGUUCGCACAAGGCCUCAUGUUCCACCAUCUCAGAAGUGUGAACAAUACGUGAAGGAUGUGUGGUGGGUUACAAAAAUUGCCUUGCUUCUAUUCUAGAUGUCAACGGCCAAGUGCUAGCCUUUUAGCAUCCCCAACUAUAACAUGAUGUAUCACUUGCUGGCUUGCUUGACAGACCUGGCAUGCUAGUUCAUCUCUUCAUCUAUGCUCAUUGUUAAUUUUCCCCAUCUUUAAUAGGGAUACCCCCCCUAUUCAUCAUCAUUCACCGGCAUGCCAUUGUUUUAGUGUUUCGGUGGUGUUUGAUACAAUUUUUGUUUUUGUUUUUAGGUAUUUUUCAAAAGUAUUUUUAACUUCAAAAAGUAUUAAAUUGAUUUUUUUAA